rnacentral:rRNA from 1 species
AUUGAACGCUGGCGGCAGGCUUAACACAUGCAAGUCGAACUAGUGGCGGACGGGUGAGUUAUGCUUGGGAGUCUAUCUUAUGGAGGGGGAUAACUACGGGCAACUGUAGCUAUUACCGCGUCCCAUAGGAUGAGCCCAAGUGGGAUUAGGUAGUUGGUGGGGUAAAGGCUCACCAAGCCGACUAUCUCUAGCUGGUCUGAGAGGAUGACCAGCCACACUGGGACGGAGACACGCCCCAGACUCCUACGGGCGGCAGCUGUGGGGAAUAUUGCGCUAUGGGUGCAGCCUGACGCAGCCAUGCCGCGUGAAUGAAGAAGGUCUUCGGGUUGUAAAGUUCUUUCGGUAGCGAGGCGUUAACUACAGAAGAAGCAACGGCUAACUCCGUGCCAGCAGCCGCGGUAAUUC